rnacentral:rRNA from 1 species
UACGGGGGGGGCAAGCGUUGUUCGGAAUUACUGGGCGUAAAGGGCGCGUAGGCGGUUUGCUAAGUUGAAUGUGAAAACUCUGGGCUUAACCCAGAGCCUGCAUUCAAUACUGGCAGGCUAGAGUUCUGGAGGGGAUAGCGGAAUUCCUGGUGUAGCGGUGAAAUGCGUAGAUAUCAGGAGGAACACCGGUGGCGAAGGCGGCUAUCUGGACAGAGUCUGGACGCUGAGGCGCGAAAGCUAGGGGAGCAAACAGG